UACGUAGGGUGCGAGCGUUAAUCGGAAUUACUGGGCGUAAAGCGUGCGCAGGCGGUUAUUUAAGUCAGCUGUGAAAGCCCCGGGCUUAACCCCGAAACGGCACUCGAAACUGCCCGGCUGGAGGGCCGGAGAGGAGAUCGGAAUUCACGGUGUAGCAGUGAAAUGCGUAGAGAUCGUGAGGAAGACCCGUGGCGAAGGCGGAUCUCUGGACGGCUAACUGACGCUGAGGCGCGAAGGCCAGGGGAGCAAACGGG
rnacentral:rRNA from 1 species